GACUCAACGAUCCGCAGGUGUUGAGAGC
rnacentral:sRNA from 1 species